rnacentral:snoRNA from 1 species
AAGAUCAUAUUUUCUAUAGCUUGUAUUAGAGAAGUUUCUCUGAUUGUGUAGAGCACCCGAAACCCCGAAGAGGAGUCAGAGCAUUCUUUCCUGAGCGUCAAGCUGGUUCUAGGUGUUGCUUUUGCAACUGCCUUUUACCAUGGAUGCUCAUUCUUCUCUUCCCUUGGAAGAAGGAGAGGGAGUGGAUGCAGUCUGAGUGG